rnacentral:rRNA from 1 species
GGAAUGCUUGGGCGUGCCUCCACCCACGCCGGCGUCGGCGGGCGUAUUUCGCCUCACAGUAGGUCGCCGCGACCCGUUGCUUUUGGGGACGUCGAAGGCCCGGACGGAUUGGUACCCUACCGGCUGGGGAUGCGGCUUCGGCUUCUCCUCUUGUCCGGUGGGCGAAACCGCCGGUGUCCUGGCUGCCCUGCGACGGUCGUAGAGACGAGCCCUCCCCUUCGGGGGGGCGGCUCUCGCGGCGUGCAAAAGGUCGGUGAUCCACCCGACCCGUCUUGAAACACGGACCAAGGAGUCUAACAUGUGUGCGAGUCAGUGGGCGCACUAAACCCAGAGGCGUAAUGAAAGUGACACGGGUUCGGCUGUCGCCUCGUGUGGCAGCCGGACUCAGGGCCGAUCCCUCACCGGUUGCCCUCGCCUCUCUCCCGCGUCUCGGUAAGCCGGGUGAGCUAUUUUCCCCGGCCGCUGCUGCGGGGCUCGGGGGGAGGCGGGGUGCGAUGGUGUCUGUAAAAAAGAGCCUGCUGUUGCAGGGGGGCGCAGGCCCGGGACUUGCCAGGACGCCGCGAGACUGUCACUUUGCUGUGAGGCUCUCGGGCCGAUCAGCGGGUCAUGCGUGCAGUCGGCAAGUACCAUGAGCAGACAUGUUGGGACCCGAAAGAUGGUGAACUAUGCCUGGCCAGGAUGAAGCCAGAGGAAACUCUGGUGGAGGUCCGUAGCGAUUCUGACGUGCAAAUCGAUCGUCGGA